UACGUAGGUGGCAAGCGUUGUCCGGAUUUACUGGGCGUAAAGGGUGCGUAGGCGGCCUUUUAAGUCAGAUGUGAAAUACCCGAGCUUAACUUGGGUGCUGCAUUUGAAACUGGGUGGCUAGAGUGCAGGAGAGGUAAGUGGAAUUCCUAGUGUAGCGGUGAAAUGCGUAGAGAUUAGGAAGAACACCAGUGGCGAAGGCGACUUACUGGACUGUAACUGACGCUGAGGCAUGAAAGCGUGGGGAGCAAACAGG
rnacentral:rRNA from 1 species